GGCCGGUUUGCCUCCGCACCUGUGGUGACAUUCCCUGAAUCAUCGCGAAUCCCUGCUCUGGCUGACGGCGUUCCCAGGCUGCAGGCAGAGCAUGCCUGUGAGUACUGGGAGCCUGGCACAGGCGUCCUUGCGAGGCUGAUCCUGAGAGCUGUGCCGGGACCGAGUGCAUGGAGAUGUUCAGAUGGGCGUGAGAGGUCUCUGGUGAGAAUGGGCACUAGGAGGGCCAUGGACUACACUGCUCCAUGAGUGGGCUGUGUUCAGCAAAGGGCAUCAGGACACUAUUUUAUCGGAUUGCUUCUGUAAUAGUCUCCAGGCUGGGACUUGUCUGGGGAGAGAUGGCUCCAUAGAUACCCGUGGGAAUGUGCAUGAAAAGGUGUUUGUGAUGUACCCAGCCGCCCUGGUGCUCAGCCUCAGUGUCCACCAACUGCUCUGGGCACCUCCCCAUCUGGCUGUGGCUCUCCAAAGGCCUGCACAGCUUUCACAGCAUCCCGGAAGGUCCAUCCUUCCUACUCACCAAACUCUUGUGAAGCUGCAUCCCAGCAGCAGGAGGGAAUAAAGGGUCAGGCCUUGAGCAGUGUUUAUGAGCAAUGACACCAAGUGAUGGGUCAGCUGGAGCCCCUGAAGAGGCGUAAGACAGCAGAUGGCCAGUGUGUCUCUCCCAGAGAGUUUAUAUAAUCAGUGUCAGAGCCAGCAAUGACAUGUCUUUGCAGUUAUCCUAUGAGCCCUUUCAGCCUUUACCUUCCUGGGCUACCUGUGCACUGUCCUGCUCUUUUGUGAUCAUUUCCAUUUCACUUGCCAUUGAUGUGGCCACAAUGAGAUCUUCUCAUACAACCUAGUUCAAAAGUGAAGCCUCCACCAAGAACAACUCUGGAGAGCCAUUAUCUCAUUGUUUAAAUGCUGAUGUGCCUUUCAGCUCAGUUUAUUCACUUUCAGCAAGCCCUGAGCAGAGCCCAUCGGAAACACAUAUUGGAUUAUCUAAAAGGGAUUUGGAAUAAACACAGCAAAAAGGCCUAGAGAAAUAGUGAAAUACAUUUAUAAACCCAGGAGCUAUUUGCGGCUCAGUGAGCAUGGGAACAGUUAUUAAAAAGAAUGACAAAUCUGGGAAGAAAGGUGAAACAAUUUUUAAGGCACUAAGAAACAUCUUCCAGUGAGCCCCAGUGAGGGGGGAAACACUUUGCUGUUUGCUGGUGCUCUGAGUCCCAUGACACUUUCUAACACAAACAUCCACCAUUAAACCUUUAUUAAUCCUCC